rnacentral:rRNA from 1 species
GAUCAUUAGUGAAUUACGGGAGUCCCUCUUAACCAGAGAAGGCCCGAUCCACUAUUUUUAAACCCUAGUGCAUUUGUCCUUUUUAACUCUUGUGCAUGAAACAAGUUUUUUUACAAGUUGAUCAUUGAAAGAAAAACUUUCAGCAAUGGAUCUCUUGGCUCUCGCAUCGAUGAAGAACGCAGCAAAGCGCGAAAUGUAAUGUGAAUUGCAGAAUUCAGUGAAUCAUCGAAUCUUUGAACGCACCUUGCGCUCUAGGGUCAUUCCUUAGAGCAUGCUUGUUUGAGUGUCUCGUACCUCUCAACCCCACCUUGAAAAAGGUUGCUAGGGUUGGAUCAUGACGCUUGCCUGUUUUUUUAAGGCUGCGUUUAAAUGCAACAAGCUGAAUCUUUGACGUUGGCGGCUUGACCUGUUGUUGUAACUUAAAACUCAAUAGGGACGCUCGUCGGAAUGAGCUUACCAAAAAUAGCUUUGACACUUUGACCUCAAAUCAAGUAGGACUACCCGCUGAACUUAAGCAUAUCAAUAAGCGGAGGAAAAGAAACUAACAAGGAUUCCCCUAGUAACGGCGAGUGAAGUGGGAACAGCUCAAUUUUAAAAUCUGGCUCCUUCGGAGUCCGAGUUGUAGUCUCGAGAAGCAACGUCCGCGUCGGACCUUGGAUAUGUCGGUUGGAAUACCGCGUCAAAGAGGGUGACAAUCCCGUUUGUACCAAGGCUGCCCGGUGCAUGGUGAUGUGCUUUCCAAGAGUCGAGUUGUUUGGGAAUGCAGCUCAAAUUGGGUGGUAAAUUCCAUCUAAAGCUAAAUAUUGGCGAGAGACCGAUAGCGAACAAGUACCGUGAGGGAAAGAUGAAAAGCACUUUGGAAAGAGAAUGAAACAGUAUGUGAAAUUGCUGAAAGGGAAACGAUUGAGGUUAGACUUGCUUAGGCGGCACUCAGCCCUCACGGGUGUAUUUGUCGUCUGUGGCAGGCCAGCAUGGGUUUGAAGUCGAGUAAAAGGGUGUAAGGGAUGUGGCUUCUUUGGAAGUGUUAUAACCUUGUACUGGAUGCUUGAUCUCAGACCGAGGAACGCAGGGCGCCGCAAGGCAGUGCCUUUUUGGUACCCGAGC